GCGGUUGUAGCUCAGUUGGUAGAGCGUCUGCUUGCCAUGCAGAAGGUCGUCGGUUCGAACCCGAUCAGCCGCUCCA
rnacentral:tRNA from 2 species